ACAAAAGCGUUGACAGGAAGCAUUAAAAAUCCCUACUUGCUUGCAGAGAGUCAUUGGAUGGUGAAAAAUGACAGAAGCGGAUUUUGAACUCGUCCCUGAGCUGCAGUGCUGAACAGGUAGGCACUGACGGAAUCUGACCGUUAUCAGCAUGAGUGCAUGCCUUUGGCGUGAAUAAGAGUGGUACCGCGAGUCUUCGUCUCUUUG
rnacentral:ncRNA from 1 species